GCCCAGGAAAACAGUUCUUAUUUUGAGGAUAUCAUAAUAUAAUCUGUUGGAAUCUGAUAUUUUAUUUUAUUUACGGAGGAUAUCAAAAUUUGUUCAGGUAAACACCAAAAUCCGGCUGGAGCUCCAGAAGUGGAGCUUGACAUCGAUGUUCAGACUGAUGUUACUUUGUGGAGACUGAAGGUGUUUGUGCACGAAGCGUUAAAAGCAGCUAACAAGAGCUCUGGUGGAACAAACGCGCAGAACAACAACAAUAAUGGAGAGAUCAACAAGAACGAUGCGAAAAGACGGAGAGAAAUCUCUGAUGCAAUCAAUAAAGCUUUUAAUUAAAAGAGCUAAGAAAGCUUGAAUCUCUUUUCUUUCCUCUGCAUCUCUCUGUUUAUUGAUCAACAAGGAACAAAUGAAUUUGGUGAACACCAAUCUAAAUUAGAGACACCUUCCAGUUCCAUU